GGUCAUGCUAUGACAGCCUCAUUCCUUCCCAUUUUGAGGGACCCCAGUAGACCAAGAUUCUCAUCUGUUUGACACUGUUCAGUCACUUCUUGGAGUGUUUUGAGUGAGACAGAAAACAAAGUCGAAGAAGAAAUAACAAAUCACUGUAAAGUAUAUUCCUUUCUUUUGCAUCUCCUUCCAUGGUGUUGUCUGGCAUGCGCAUACUUGCUUUCAGCUUUCUCAUUCUCAUCACUGUUUUGUAUCAGUCGGCCCAAUGUUCGUCAUUUUGGGUGUUUAUUUCGGUUUCUGAAGGAAAUAUCAAAUAGCGGAGUGGAUACUGUCGCAGGAAUUAAGAAGCCAGUGAAAGAAACCAAACUAAUGGCAGCAUGAUUCAAAUAGGAUCUGAGGAGUGAGGUCUGUUGUAUCUGCUCGUUAACUUGCAGAAGGAAGUUUCCUUCAGUUUCACCAUUGCACACAGUUCUAGUAGUUUUGUUGUUUAUUUGCUGAAGAACUGCUAAUUCUUUAUACCUUCUUGGUAGGAAGUUAUAGACCACAAAACACAAGUGUGUUGUAUCAAUAGGCUUUUGAUUGUAUUAUUAUACUGACACGGUUUGUUUGGUAGACAUUAUAGUUUGUACAAUCCUCAAAAUUUGGUUGGGAGAUUUGGACUCAUAGGCGAUUUGGAGUCGAAUAACUCAUUUAAACACUUAAA
rnacentral:lncRNA from 1 species